rnacentral:rRNA from 1 species
UUUCCGUAGGUGAACCUGCGGAAGGAUCAUUAACGAGAGAGGGUCCUCGGGGCCCGAACCUCCCACCCCUUGUGUAUCUACCUCUGUUGCUUUGGCGGGCCCGGGGAACACCCCCCGCCGGUUUCGGCUGGUGAGCGCCCGUCGGAGGACCUCCAAACUCGAUCUAUCAAUGACGUCUGAGUGACCAAACAAUGAAUUAAAACUUUCAACAACGGAUCUCUUGGUUCUGGCAUCGAUGAAGAACGCAGCGAAAUGCGAUAAGUAAUGUGAAUUGCAGAAUUCAGUGAAUCAUCGAAUCUUUGAACGCACAUUGCGCCCUCUGGUAUUCCGGGGGGCAUGCCUGUUCGAGCGUCAUUAGCCCACUCAAGCCCAGCUUGGUAUUGGAUCUCGCCCCCCCGGGGACGGAUCUCAAAAUCAGCGGCGGAACAGCUGAUCGUCAAGCGUAGUCAAUUCUAUCCCGCUUCGACCGAUCCAGUUGAUUCCAGCCGGACAACCCCCCAUCUUCUCAGGAUUGACCUCGGAUCAGGUAGGGAUACCCGCUGAACUUAA